UGCUAAUACCGGAUAACAACAGAUGAUGCCUAUCAACUGUUUAAAAGAUGGUUCUGCUAUCACUCUUGGAUGGACCUGCGGUGCAUUAGCUAGUUGGUAGGGUAACGGCCUACCAAGGCGAUGAUGCAUAGCCGAGUUGAGAGGCUGAUCGGCCACAUUGGGACUGAGACACGGCCCAAACUCCUACGGGAGGCAGCAGUA
rnacentral:rRNA from 1 species